GACGAACGCUGGCGGCGUGCUUAACACAUGCAAGUCGAACGGAAAGGCCCUGCUUUUGUGGGGUGCUCGAGUGGCGAACGGGGGAGUAACACGUGAGUAACCUGCCCUUGACUUUGGGAUAACUUCAGGAAACUGGGGCUAAUACCGGAUAGGAGAUCCUGCUGCAUGGUGGGGGUUGGAAAGUUUCGGCGGGUGGGGAUGGACUCGCGGCUUAUCAGCUUGUUGGUGGGGUAGUGGCUUACCAAGGCUUUGACGGGUAGCCGGCCGGAGAGGGUGGCCGGCCACAUUGGGCCUGAGAUACGGCCCAGACUCCUACGGGAGGCAGCAGUGGGGAAUAUUGCACAAUGGGCGGAAGCCUGAUGCAGCAACGCCGCGUGCGGGAUGACGGCCUUCGGGUUGUAAACCGCUUUCGCCUGUGACGAAGCGUGAGUGACGGUAAUGGGUAAAGAAGCACCGGCUAACUACGUG
rnacentral:rRNA from 1 species